rnacentral:rRNA from 1 species
CCCGCUCAGAAACUACAAGGACUUGACGGGGACCCGCACAAGCGGUGGAUGAUGUGGAUUAAUUCGAUGCAACGCGAAAACCUUACCUACCCUUGACAUGUACGGAACCCUGCUGAGAGGUGGGGGUGCUCGAAAGAGAGCCGUAACACAGGUGCUGCAUGGCUGUCGUCAGCUCGUGUCGUGGGAUGUUGGGUUAAGUCCCGCAACGAGCGCAACCCUUGUCAUUAGUUGCUACGCAAGAGCACUCUAAUGAGACUGCCGGUGACAAACCGGAGGAAGGUGGGGAUGACGUCAAGUCCUCAUGGCCCUUAUGGGUAGGGCUUCACACGUCAUACAAUGGUCGGUACAGAGGGUUGCCAAGCCGCGAGGUGGAGCCAAUCCCAGAAAGCCGAUCGUAGUCCGGAUCGCAGUCUGCAACUCGACUGCGUGAAGUCGGAAUCGCUAGUAAUCGCGUAUCAGCAUGACGCGGUGAAUACGUUCCCGGGCCUU